rnacentral:tRNA from 2 species
GCGGUGAUCUUAGUUGGGAGAGCGUCAGAUUGAAGAUCUGAAGGUCGCAUGUUCAAUCCAUGCUCACCGCA